AUCUGAGACCAGAAAAUAGAUUCUGUGAUACCUUCUCCGAGAUGGAGGAAAGCGGGGAGAAAGAACAACUGUGGGGCACUCUACCCUUCUGAUUCCUUAUUUGUUUUUCUCUGUAACUCAGUGGGUCAUCAUGGGGACAGCCAAGAACAACCACACUGUACUAAAACUUCCCCUCCUUGACAAACCCAAGACACAGAAAAACUAUGCCCAACCUGAGGUUCUGUGUCACACCUUUGAGACCCUGUCUAACCUUCACAAACUGCUGCCAAAUCAUAUGAUGGAGACACUCUACUUCUACAAGAGGGAAGAGGACAAACAAAAUUGUCAGAAUUCUGAAUUCUCUGGCUUAGAAAGGAUCUUAGCAAGACAUCAGUUUCCAAAAGAGAUUAAUCUGACUCCCAAUCCAAGUAGCAUGCCCCUGUGGAGAAGAAAAUGCAUCAACAAUGCAAAUCGUGGGUGGAAGAAAUGUCAAUUGUGGAAUAAAAGCCUUGAGGAACCUCCGAUGUCAACCAUAGUUGUCAGAUGGUUGAAAAAUAACAUGCAACCUGCCGAAGACCUCCAGUCAGUAGUCCAGAGGCUGUCAGUGUUUGGGCCAAUUAAGUCAGUCACCUUCUGUGGACGGCAAAGUGCUAUCGUGGUGUUCGAAGACCUGACUUCAGCUUGUAAUGCUGUCAAUGCUUUUGAAAGCAGGACCACAGGCACAAUGUUUCAGUGUUCCUGGCAACAGCGUUUCAUGUCAAAAGAUAAAACAUAUUCAAGAAGAUCUACUGCAAAGUCACAGCCUAAGGAUUACAAGCAGGAAAUUGAAAGAAAAGGCUAAUCAUAGCUAAGGGGACACGAACAGGAAAGUUGCAGUGCUUUUUGGACAUGCAGAACCUACCCGAAGCCAACAAGUUCUAAAUAAUGAAUGCCCAACUUGGUUGUGUGAAGUAGCAGCCACCAUUACUCAUCUUACUACACAAAAUCAAACGAGAGAUCACAAAAAUAGGAAUGAUGCUGAAACACUAUAGCUUUUGAGUGAAAUAGGGGAAGAACAGAAAAGGAGAACAAACUCUCACGGCAGGCCGCGUUACCUGAGUUGUAACUGCAUUCUUUUUGGCUGGCCGGUUCAUCAUGAUCUUUGUGAUGCUGUCUUCAUAGGUUACCACCAGGGUUUCAUAUCCUGGUUGUUUCCUGUCUGCUUCAGGCUUCACUUGGCUGGAGGAGUCAGAAGAAGAACUCAAACCAGACACCAGAUCCACAUAGUUCUGCCUCGCAGUUUCCUGAAGAGAAGACGACAAAUAACUUCGGCCCAUGGUCAAUGAGGAAUAGGAAGACCUGAGAAGGAGGAGCAAGUUGGGGGAACAGCAGUCUGAUGUGAAAGGCUGGAGUUAAAGUAGCCUCCUUGGACCACGAGUAUGGAUGCCACACUCUAAGGAUGAAACAGUAGAGACUAGCAUGGGACCAGGUCUCUAAAUGACUUUGUGAAUCCACCAUACCAGCCCUGAACUGCUGAUCCCCAGGCUUUGACAUGAAGAAGAGUUGAAUUUCUAUCUUAUUUAAGCCACUGUCGUUAUGUGUCUCUGUUGCUUGCAGCCAAACCUAAUUCCAACUGACACAGUGCAAGGAACAGCAAAUAGGAAAGAACUAGCCAGAGAGUUUGAACAAGAGUAAUUUAGUGUCAUGGAAACCAAGGAAGGCAGAAUUUCAGAACAGUGACCCACAGUGUGGAAAAGGAUGAGGCCUGAGGACAAAGACACUAUAUUUGACAGCUUAAAGGUCACUGGUAGUUUUAAGUAAACACUGUCCAAGGUUAACUGCAAACCAAACCAUAUGAAAAGCCUCUUCAUGGCAUCUGCAAACACUCAGAACCUGCCAACUGACCUACAUCUCGGGAUCUGGAAGAUGCUUAUGCAUUGUGAAGAGAAAAAUAUUUGCAGACUCACCUUAUCUGCAUAGACUGUAUCAGUCUUCAAGAAAUUAGUUAGAGACCAUAGUCAUUGUGAGAAAAAGCUGUCAUUUAAAGGAGUGUUUCCAGCAGCGAGGGUGGAGAAUGGAUGAAGGGCAAGGGUCUUCUCCAUGGCACCCUCUUGUCAGUUGGCUAAUACUCUCUGGUCCUUUAAAUCUCAACCUAGAGCCCCUCCCUUAGACAGACAGUCCCCUGACUCCACUGUUGUAGGCUCUUAUAGCUCCCUAAACUUUUCCUCUAUAUCUCUCCUUGUUUAAUAUCUGCCUUCCUCAAUAGGACCCUGUCUGGUUCGUUCACUGCUGUGUCCUCAGGGCCUAGCUGAGCAUCUGGUAAAGAACAGCUGCUCAAUGGAGUGCAUGACAUUUCUCCUUGCAGUGCUGGCACCAAACUCUUGGUGUUUUGCUUAGUUUGUUUCUUGUGCUUGAGGAAACACUUUGUGAAAUUGUUUCUUCUCUUGGCUUCUCAUUGUUUUCAUCCCGAGAACUGAUGAAGAGAGAGGGGAAUGUGGAAUUCCUAGUUGAUGUCUACCUAUGUUAGGGAUGGUUGGUAUCUUACUUACUUUCCUAUUCCCUCACUGAAGGCACCAGGGAGCCAUUUAGUAUACAAAGACUAUGUGGUACCCAAGGGUGUCUCAGAAGCUGAAGGAGUGAAGGAGGCUUCUGAAGUUCCCCCCAGAGUACCUUCCAGGGUGGAGUCAUGCUAUAAAGUACUCUAGGUCAGUGCCUAUUAGAACAUUACUUCAGAUCCAGAGAAAGAGAGGUAUUCCAAUUCCUCACAUUCUGGCCUUUACCUCCCAUCAAGCCCUAUCUUCUUAUCCCCUCUGUCCCCAAUGUUACCCAUUCUCAAGACUCAUAUUAAAUGCCACCCUUUCUGGGGAUCCUUCCCUGGUUACCCAGUCCAGGCACAUAUCUUUGUCCCCCGAGCUCCAACAACACCUGCUAUCUGAUGUUCCUUUGAAAAUUAGCACAUUCUGUCUAGUGGUGUUCACCUGAUUUUCAGAUGGGUAUUCAGCUUCCUGAAAGGGUGCUGCCUUGAACUUCUGCAUAGCCCGUGAGUAUAGCUUUAUACAAUAUAGAUAUCAGGAAAUAGCUACUGGUUGACUGACCAUUUCUUAGCUCUGCUCUUCAUUUGCUGAAGCGAAGAAAACACACAUGCACGACAACAGCAAACCUUGCCUGCCCCUGUUUCAUGGCUUCUCAUCUUGGACUGUCAGACAUACUACAAGUUGCAGGGACCUUAAUUUAUUUUUCUAUUUCAAAAUAAAAUCACCCACAACCUCCUGUGGCUAGUAACUUCUAAACUAUAGUAGCUGAUUAUAAGUAAGAUGUAUGUAAUUGUUUAUCAGCAAGCUUUAAAUAAACACAUAAAUUUCAGUGUCUCUUCUUAUUGGAUUUUCUGACAUGUUGGAAUUGAUCUGAGAUCUCAUUGAAAUGUAAACUAUAAACUAGCAUCUGAGGCUCUUAAAUCAGAGGCGGGAAUAGAGAUAAUAGAGUGGUUAGCACCUUUGAGAAGCAUAUCUAUUUGGUAGAAUGGUUAGCUGGUUAUAUUUUGUCAGCCAAAAAAAAAAAAAAAUGACAGCUUCAUUUGCAUAGGACUGCAGUGAUUGAUUCUCAUCCCAGCUGCUCUUCCUUUGUCUCCUCUCCAAAGUAGAGGCUUUGGGCUGAGAACAGUGGGGAUAGGCCACAGUCAGAAGUAACCUCUUCUUGUGACAUAACUAAGAUUCUCAUCAUCAAACGCUCCUUUUGGAACCAUUCCUCAUAAUGACUGUAUUAGUCAGGAUUCCCCAGAAAAACAGAACAAAGAGAGAAGAUUUAUGGUAAGAAUCAGCUCACAUGACUAUGGGGGCUGAGAAGUCCCACAGUCUGCUGUUUGCAAGGUGGACUGCCAGGAAAACCCAUGGUAUUAGUCCAAGUCCAAAGUACUGAGAACUGAUGGUAUAACUCCCAGUCCUGGGGCAAAGUCCUGAGAACCACGGGCCUGUUGGUGUAAGUUCCUAUGUCCAAAGGCCCAGAAGCUCCAAUGUCCAUGGAUAGAAGAUGAACAUCCCAUCCCAAGAAUAAGGAGUGAAUUUACCCUUCCUUUGCCUUUUUGUUCCAUUGGGGCCCCCAGUGGAUUGGAACAUGCCUACCCACAUUGAUAAGGAAAUGCCGAAGCAAGAAGAUGAACCACAGUACACGUAUUCACUAACCCAUGUGCCCGCUUCCAUCUAUAGAACCUGGGAUCCAAGGGAGACCCAUCCCAGCAGGGUUCAUGUGAAGGUUAGAUAAGAAAAUGUGUUUGAAGUGUCAAGAUGAUAUUAAUUAGAUCCCUUCUCAUGUUUUAAAAUAAAUGGUUGUGAAUAUC